rnacentral:lncRNA from 1 species
GAUUUGAAUUAAAGGAAGACAUGCGAAACAGGCAGUUUUGUACCUAUUUUCAGAAAGCACCGGAUAAUCUGUGAUUUCUGCCCAAGCAAGGAUGAGGAAGAUGUGGCCAUCCAAGUGUUGGUAGGCCACACCUAUCAUCCAUCAUGAUGCUGCUUGACAUCCAACAUCUAGACUACCAUACAUUCCCUCAUCCUGGUCCCUGGGCAUUUAAGCUACCAUGGAAUUCUAUUGAAUACUAAUAAGUCUGAUUUCUCCCCCAGUGUUAUCUAUAAUGCAGUCACUGUUAAAUUGCUUUUUUCACACAUCUUUGUGACCUCAUUUGACAUGAUGAUGUCACUGUCAAGCACAGAGGGGGGAAGGUACUAGCAAGAGGCACGUAGAUGGCAGACUUCUGAGAUCUUUAUGGAUCUACAGCAGCAGCCAACUGUUGCUUAUUUUUAUCUUUCCUCCCCGACCCCUGCCUAGCAGUCUGGCAGCACAACUGGGAGAAUGAAAUGGCUUAGACUGAAGUUAUUUUGGGAGCAAUUAAUUUAUAAAGUGUCUGAAGUAUGUGCUGCUCUUGAAGGCAGGAACAAAUAUUUACAUCCUGCCAACCAUAACAUCAAGCUUUCGGAAUGCCUUCUGAAUUUGAUACUUGGGAGAGAAUUAUCUAUUAUCAGUGUUCUUUCUUGGACAAUACAUGCUCAUCUACAACAAUGGCAGAAGAAGCAAGUUCCGGGGAUGGUCCAUUGCCAUCUACUACCAUGGCCACAUUGGGACUUACCUCUUCCGUUGCAUUUUUGACAACUAGCGAUCAAGAUGGACAGGACGCUGACACCUCAUUAGCAGAAGCAGAGGGUUCUGAAGUGGGAAGCACCACCACUACAGAACCCACUGAUAUGCAAUCAGCAGGCUUGCAUCCGGCUGUGAUGUUUGGCGUCCCUGCAGCGCUGCUCUCCAUCUUGUUAGUUCUGCUGGUCAUCUUUAUUGUCAGACGCCGGAACCAGAAGCAAUCUAAACAAGGUAAUUCUUGGCAUGCCUUGGGUAAUGCUGCAUGGAUCUUUAUGGGAAAGGCAAAGUUUGGACAAGUUACAUUUUUUGACUCCA